rnacentral:piRNA from 1 species
UGGUAGACGGAUGGUGUAUUAUACCUACAC